UUAACUUAUUUGUUUGUAACUCGGACAAUAUAAAAUCAAGAGUUUAGGGUCCUCUGGCAGGCGCGGACCAGCCUAGGCCAGUGGUCAUAAGACGGGCCUGCCAAAGCAACAAAGGUAAUAUAGACAAAGGGUGGGAGAUCUACCCUGGAGGGCAAUUUCUCUGUAAUGAUCCUUCCGCAGGUUCACCUACGGAAA
rnacentral:misc_RNA from 1 species